rnacentral:rRNA from 1 species
GAUGAACGCUCGCCGCGUGCCUAAUACAUGCAAGUCGAGCGAACGGACGAGAAGCUUGCUUUUCUGAUGUUAGCGGCGGACGGGUGAGUAACACGUGGAUAACCUACCUAUAAGACUGGGAUAACUUCGGGAAACCGGAGCUAAUACCGGAUAAUAUUUUGAACCGCAUGGUUCAAAAGUGAAAGACGGUCUUGCUGUCACUUAUAGAUGGAUCCGCGCUGCAUUAGCUAGUUGGUAAGGUAACGGCUUACCAAGGCAACGAUGCAUAGCCGACCUGAGAGAGUGAUAGGCCACGCUGGAUGUGAGAGACGGUCCAGACUCCUACGAGAGGCAGCAGUAGGGAAUCUUCCGCAAUGGGCGAAAGCCUGACGGAGCAACGCCGCGUGAGUAAUGAAGGUCUUCGGAUCUUAAAACACUGUUAUUAGGGAAAAACAUAUGUGUAAGUAACUGUGCACAUCUUGAGGGUACCUAAUCAGAAAGCCACGGCUAACUAGGUG